GAUGAACGCUGGCGGCGUGCCUAAUACAUGCAAGUCGAGCGAACAGACGAGGAGCUUGCUCCUCUGACGUUAGCGGCGGACGGGUGAGUAACACGUGGAUAACCUACCUAUAAGACUGGGAUAACUUCGGGAAACCGGAGCUAAUACCGGAUAAUAUAUUGAACCGCAUGGUCCAAUAGUGAAAGACGGUUUUGCUGUCACUUAUAGAUGGAUCCGCGCCGCAUUAGCUAGUUGGUAAGGUAACGGCUUACCAAGGCAACGAUGCGUAGCCGACCUGAGAGGGUGAUCGGCCACACUGGAACUGAGACACGGUCCAGACUCCUACGGGAGGCAGCAGUAGGGAAUCUUCCGCAAUGGGCGAAAGCCUGACGGAGCAACGCCGCGUGAAUGAUGAAGGUCUUCGGAUCGUAAAACUCUGUUAUUAGGGAAGAACAAAUGUGUAAGUAACUAUGCACGUCUUGACGGUACCUAAUCAGAAAGCCACGGCUAACUACGUG
rnacentral:rRNA from 1 species